rnacentral:rRNA from 1 species
AUUGAGCGCUGGCGGCAUGCCUUACACAUGCAAGUCGAACGGUAACGCGGGGCAACCUGGCGACGAGUGGCGAACGGGUGAGUAAUGCAUCGGAACGUGCCCAGUAGUGGGGGAUAGCCCGGCGAAAGCCGGAUUAAUACCGCAUACGACCUAUGGGUGAAAGAGGGGGAUCGCAAGACCUCUCGCUAUUGGAGCGGCCGAUGUCAGAUUAGGUAGUUGGUGGGGUAAAAGCCUACCAAGCCUACGAUCUGUAGCUGGUCUGAGAGGACGACCAGCCACACUGGGACUGAGACACGGCACAGACUCCUACGGGAGGCAGCAGUGGGGAAUUUUGGACAAUGGGCGCAAGCCUGAUCCAGCCAUGCCGCGUGCGGGAAGAAGGCCUUCGGGUUGUAAACCGCUUUUGCCAGGGAAGAAAUCUUCUGGGUUAAUACCUCGGGAGGAUGACGGUACCUGGAGAAUAAGCACCGGUUAACUACGUGCCAGCCGCCGCCGUAAUAC